GAUUGAACGCUGGUGGCAGGCCUAACACAUGCAAGUCGAGCGGCAUCGAGUGAUCGCAGUUUACUGAGUUCAUGUCGGCGAGCGGCGGACGGGUGAGUAAAGUCUGGGAAUCUGGCCGAAGGAGGGGGAUAACUGCUGGAAACGGCAGCUAAUACCGCAUGAAGUCGCGAGACCAAAGUGGGGGACCUUCGGGCCUCACGCCUUCGGAUGAGCCCAGAUGAGAUUAGCUGGUAGGUAAGGUAAAGGCUUACCUAGGCGACGAUCUCUAGCGGGUCUGAGAGGAUAGCCCGCCACACUGGAACUGAGACACGGUCCAGACUCCUACGGGAGGCAGCAGUGGGGAAUAUUGCACAAUGGGCGAAAGCCUGAUGCAGCCAUGCCAC
rnacentral:rRNA from 1 species